rnacentral:rRNA from 1 species
UACGAAGGGGGCUAGCGUUGCUCGGAAUGACUGGGCGUAAAGGGCGCGUAGGCGGACGGCUUAGUCAGGCGUGAAAGUCCUGGGCUUAACCUGGGGGCUGCGUUCGAGACGCUGUGUCUUGAGUGGGGAAGAGGGUCGUGGAAUUCCCAGUGUAGAGGUGAAAUUCGUAGAUAUUGGGAAGAACACCGGUGGCGAAGGCGGCGACCUGGUCCUUGACUGACGCUGAGGCGCGAAAGCUGGGGGAGCAAACGGG